rnacentral:rRNA from 1 species
UACGUAGGUGACAAGCGUUGUCCGGAUUUACUGGGCGUAAAGAGCGCGCAGGCGGUCGUUCAAGUCGAGUGUGAAAGCCCCCGGCUCAACUGGGGAGGGUCACUCGAUACUGAUCGACUCGAAGGCAGGAGAGGGUAGUGGAAUUCCCGGUGUAGUGGUGAAAUGCGUAGAUAUCGGGAGGAACACCGGUGGCGAAGGCGGUUCUCUGGGCCUGUACUGACGCUGAGGAGCGAAAGCGUGGGGAGCGAACAGG